AGUGAAAGAGGAGGGAGGAGUGGCUGUCAGUGUGGGCACUGGGCUAUUAUCAGUGAGUGUAUUCAUUUGCUUGGGCUACUGUAACACAGCACCUCAGACUGUAACACAGCACCCAUGGGUUUGCCGACAGGGAUUUACUGUCCCACAGCUCUGGAGGCUGGAAGCCAAGAUCAAGAUGUGCGCAAGGUUGUUUCCUGCUGAGAGCUGUGAGGGGAGCUUCUGCUCUGGGCCUCUCUCCCCGGCUUGCCUGUGGCCAUCUUCCCACUCUCUCUUCGCAUCAUCUUCCCUCUAUGCCAUUGAGUGUAAGAUGUCCUACCAAGAAAGAAACAUCACAGCCAACUAUGUUGUGCCAUCCAACUGAAAGAUGCAUCCCAGUUUCAGAGAUGUUAACAUGUACGUCUUCAAUAAAUGAGAUGCCGCG
rnacentral:lncRNA from 10 species